rnacentral:rRNA from 1 species
GUUGGAUUACCAGUGAGCGGCGGACGGGUGAGUAACACGUGGGCAACCUGCCCUGAAGCGGGGGAUAACAUCUGGAAACAGGUGCUAAUACCGCAUAACAACGAAAACCACAUGGUUUUCGUUUCAAAGAUGGUUUCGGCUAUCACUUCAGGAUGGGCCCGCGGUGCAUUAGCUAGUUGGUAAGGUAACGGCUUACCAAGGCAAUGAUGCAUAGCCGAGUUGAGAGACUGAUCGGCCACAAUGGAACUGAGACACGGUCCAUACUCCUACGGGAGGCAGCAGUAGGGAAUCUUCCACAAUGGGCGCAAGCCUGAUGGAGCAACACCGCGUGAGUGAAGAAGGGUUUCGGCUCGUAAAGCUCUGUUGUUGGAGAAGAACGUGCGUGAGAGUAACUGUUCACGCAGUGACGGUAUCCAACCAGAAAGUCACGGCUAACUACGUGCCAGCAGCCGCGGUAAUACGUAGGUGCAAGCGUUGUCCGGAUUUAUUGGGCGUAAAGCGAGCGCAGGCGGUUGCUUAGGUCUGAUGUGAAAGCCUUCGGCUUAACCGAAGAAGGGCAUCGGAAACCGGGCAACUUGAGUGCAGAAGAGGACAGUGGAACUCCAUGUGUAGCGGUGGAAUGCGUAGAUAUAUGGAAGAACACCAGUGGCGAAGGCGGCUGUCUGGUCUGCAAACUGACGCUGAGGCUCGAAAGCAUGGGUAGCGAACAGGAUUAGAUACCCC